GACGAACGCUGGCGGCGUGCUUAACACAUGCAAGUCGAACGGAAAGGCCCUGCUUUUGUGGGGUGCUCGAGUGGCGAACGGGUGAGUAACACGUGAGUAACCUGCCCUUGACUUUGGGAUAACUUCAGGAAACUGGGGCUAAUACCGGAUAGGAGCUCCUGCUGCAUGGUGGGGGUUGGAAAGUUUCGGCGGUUGGGGAUGGACUCGCGGCUUAUCAGCUUGUUGGUGGGGUAGUGGCUUACCAAGGCUUUGACGGGUAGCCGGCCUGAGAGGGUGACCGGCCACAUUGGGACUGAGAUACGGCCCAGACUCCUACGGGAGGCAGCAGUGGGGAAUAUUGCACAAGGGGCGGAAGCCUGAUGCAGCAACGCCGCGGGCGGGAUGACGGCCUUCGGGUUGUAAACCGCUUUCGCCGGUGACGAAGCGUGAGUGACGGUAAUGGGUAAGAAGCACCGGCUAACUACGUG
rnacentral:rRNA from 1 species